rnacentral:tRNA from 1 species
UCAUUAACCCUAAGAGGCUAUCGAAUAAAUUGUCAUGGGAGUAUCCUCCCUUGUCAGCAUGUUCGGCCAAGCACGCC